rnacentral:rRNA from 1 species
CUUUUGCAAGUCAUUAAACCACUAGUGAAUAAGGGGUGGGCAAGUUUUGGUGUCAGCCGCCGCGGUAAAACCAGCACCUCAAGUGGUCAGGAGGAUUAUUGGGCCUAAAGCAUCCGUAGCCGGCUCUGUAAGUUUUCGGUUAAAUCCAUGUGCUCAACGCAUGGGCUGUCGAAAAUACUGCAUAGCUAGGGAGUGGGAGAGGUAGACGGUACUCGGUAGGAAGGGGUAAAAUCCUUUGAUCUAUCGAUGACCACCUGUGGCGAAGGCGGUCUACCAGAACACGUUCGACGGUGAGGGAUGAAAGCUGGGGGAGCAAACCGGAUUAGAUACCCGGGUAGUCCCAGCUGUAAACGAUGCAGACUCGAUGAUGCAUUGGCAUAUAGCCAGUGCAGUGUCGCAGGGAAGCCGUUAAGUCUGCCGCCUGGGAAGUACGUACGCAAGUAUGAAACUUAAAGGAA